rnacentral:rRNA from 1 species
CGGACGGGUGAGUAACGCGUGGGCAACCUGCCCCAUAGAGGGGGACAACAGCUGGAAACGGCUGCUAAUACCGCAUAACAAGGAGGGAGCGCAUGUUCUUUUCUUCAAAGAUUUAUCGCUAUGGGAUGGACCCGCGUCUGAUUAGCUAGUUGGUGAGGUAACGGCCCACCAAGGCGACGAUCAGUAGCCGGACUGAGAGGUUGGCCGGCCACAUUGGGACUGAGACACGGCCCAGACUCCUACGGAAGGCAGCAG